AAGGAAAGGAAAAAAAAAUAGAAUGACAAGGAUAAGGUGACCAGGAAGAAAAAGAGAAAAAAAGGAAGAAAGAAAGAAAGGAGAUGAAAAAGUAGAAUGACAAGGAGAAGGUGACCAGGAAGAAAAAGAGGAAAAGAAGAAAAAAAAAGGAAAAUAUGAAAGAGUAGACUGACAAGAAAGAGGUGACCAGG